UCUGCCACUCACUGGGUGAUCUUGGGCAAGUUAUGGAACCCCUCUGCACCUCAGUUUCUCUAUCUAGAAAAUGGGAAGAAUACAAACCUACCUGUCAGCAUUGGUGAGUGAGGAGCAUACCAUUGAGAUACCAGUGGAAAAGUAGUUCGAUAAGCAAAGGCUAGCAGCAGCGUCAACUGCAAGAACUUAGUCAAGACAUUCAACUUCUCCAAGCCUCCAGGAGCUCUGAACGUUCUCAUCCGUAUGUGGGGUGAUGGAAGUGAAAUGCACUUUGUAAAACUGACAUGUUAGCAAUUGGUAGUUAUCACUCUUAGGAUUCUUAGCCAGUCCUAAUUAGGACAGAGAAGACAGAGCAGUAGGCUGGUUUGCCGAAGUCCAGUGAGUAACAAUGGGCCAGAAGCCAGGACGGCCUCUCCAGUUUUGUGCCCUUCUCACCCACUGCCCUCCAGACGUUGUCCUCCCAUCAUCUGGAACCUGGGUGUAUUCCGGACCAGAAUCUGUGGAUCCUGGGUUCAGCUUCUUUGCCUAUUAGCAAAGUCCUUCUGCUGGAGGGGGGCACUUGCCAUCAGGCCUGAGAAAGAAGUCAGGCGUGCUUGGAAUGCAAUUGCAAAAGAGGUUACAAGAGCCUGGCGAGAAUGCUGAAAUCAAGUGAUGUCGAGAGGUUUUGUUAUUUUUGAAAAAGUGACUCAUUCUGAGAAACCCUAACGGCCUCACGGAACAUUCACCUAGUUGCUUGUAUGUACAACCCAGAGCCCACUGCAGAGAAAAACAAACCCUGCUGUCACAGCUGAAGGAGGGGGUGAUGGCUGGCGUGGAAUUAGGGAUGACAGGUCGACAGUUCCAUGAGGAAGAGUGGGAAGGGUACACAGGGACGCGCAGAGGUGGGAGUGGCCGGUUGCCUGUGCGAAGUCAGGUAGCGCUUCCAGGUAGAGACUACAAAAGAGGCCCCAAGAAGGCAAAUGCCUUUGCCCAAGGUCACCAGCUGGAAAGUGGUGGCACCGGACUGGACUUGGAAUUCAGGGCCCGCUGCCCCGCCACCCAACACCCUUGGCUCUUUCUGGCAUCGGGAGAGGCCAAGUAGGCAAGAAAGGAAAUGGAAUAACUCGUUUACUGCCCCAGGCAUUUUCAGAACAAGAUAUCAGGGAACACUGCAAAAUGAUCCGGAGCCGAGUGCUCCUCUCUGAUGGAGAAGGGCUCCCGAACGAGGGACCUGGGACACCGUCUGAUGACCUUUCAUCUGAAAAGGUUGCUCAUCGAGUCGGAGGAGGGAGCCUGUGGGAAGCCUCAGCAUUAGCGAUGGCAGGAUGAGGCUCCACCGGUUCUGAUUCCCGGCUGAGUAGUCCUUCCCUUCCCCUUCCCUUUUCUUCCUUUUCUCCCUCCCCAGUUCUUCCAUUCAAUAAAUAUUGAU